rnacentral:tRNA from 1 species
GUCCGUUUAACUCAAAUGGUAAAGUGCAAGUCUUUUAAUCUUGUGGUCGUGGGUUUGAGCCCACGGUGGGUG